ensembl:lncRNA
CAUUUUUUUCUCCAGUUAAUGAAUGGUUUGCAUGCCGUGAAGAUCCCACAGUCAGACAUCACUGUACACUAGCUGAUCAGCUCCUGCCUGGACUUGCCAUCACUGUCAUUUAAGGUUGUGUUAGCCCACGGAAGCAAGAGUACAUGUAUGCUGAAUAUAAGCAAAUGACAGAUUAUCUCUGUUAGAGUCCAUGGUGCUAAGGGACAGAGAAGCUCAGUCUCGAAGUUAAGUGUCAGAACAGAGAUAAGACAUUGAUCUUUUCUUCCUUGCUUUACAGAAUCAGAAGUAUGUAUGGAUAACGCCUGCUUUGUGGCACAGGAAAAUGGAACAGAAGAAAUGGAGGGAAGUAUUUAAAAAGCAUGGAAGAGACCCGUGUCUUCUUGAACAGGACUGCUGUCAAACAAACGAGGGCUCCAAAAUCAACAGAACAUGGACUCAAAUCCAUCUCCGAGUGAACGGAAUUAAAAGCCAAAAGUCAGCAUGAAAAUUAGAAGUUAUGAAAUGAAAAAAUAUUUAAGAGCAAAAGAGCACAAUCCUACUGGUUAGUAGUAGAGAAAAAAGAAACAUGCAAUACCAAUAAAGGAAACAUUCAGUAACGUUUUUG